UAAAAGUAUUGUUCGGAGGAAAGCACAAUUCAGAAAAUAUCAUAAGUUCAAUAUUGAUUUUUAGGCUCAAGAUUUGAUUAAAAAAUGAUUCUCAAUUAAAAAGAAACAUUCACAGUAUGUAAAUGUAGCUACUGUUUCCCAUGCGAGUAUACACGGCAUUACGAAGAUAAAUGAAUAAAUAUGAAUUGAUUUUUGGAAUUCUAUGAAUCCAUUUUGAAUUGGUAGAGCUUGAAUGGAUUCAUGAAUGUGAUUUGAU